rnacentral:sRNA from 1 species
GAGGAGGGAAAGCGGCGAGUAAGAUGGAAGAUGAGGAGGUCGCUGAGAGCUGGGAAGAGGCGGCAGACAGCGGGGGCUGGUGUGAGCAGAAAAUGAAUGUCUGUGGAAGAAUGUUGACAGCCAUAAUACAUUAUAUCGAUAUAAGGAAAUAGACAGACGGUUGGAAAAAAAACUGAAGAUCACACAAAAAGAGAGGAAAUCCAAAUCUCCUCCCAAAGUGCCCAUUGUGAUUCAGGACGAUAGCCUUCCCGCGGGGCCCCCUCCACAGAUCCGCAUCCUCAAGAGGCCCACCAGCAACGGUGUGGUCAGCAGCCCCAACUCCACCAGCAGGCCCACCCUUCCAGUCAAGUCCCUAGCACAGCGAGAGGCCGAGUACGCCGAGGCCCGGAAGCGGAUCCUGGGCAGCGCCAGCCCCGAGGAGGAGCAGGAGAAACCCAUCCUCGACAGGCCAACCAGGAUCUCCCAACCCGAAGACAGCAGGCAGCCCAAUAAUGUGAUCAGACAGCCUUUGGGUCCUGAUGGGUCUCAAGGCUUCAAACAGCGCAGAUA